UACAGUCCAUGGGGUCGCAAAGAGUUGGACAUGACUGAGCGACUUCACACAUAUUGGUCUCUGAACUCCAGCUGGAAAGAAGACAGAAAAUUGGAAAUCAAAGAACGUUUUGCUGCCAAUUUAAACACAAAGUAACAGAUACAGAAGUGAAGCAAAAUAAAUGAUAAUUCACAGUAGUGAUUCUAUAAUGUGAAAUAUAUGUCUUUUAGAUCCACAUAUUCAUCUUCUUUUUCAAUAAAGGAAAAAAAUGGAUUUUCAUUAUUACAUGCAUUUGCCAUUUUCCCUCUUUUUUUAUACUCUUAGCCAUGGACAUUUUCAUGUCAAUAUCAUGUUUUCCAGUGUAUCAAUAUCACACAUUAAGCCUAUCCAUUUUUUCACUUCCAUAAAGUGAAUUAAUUAUUUUUCUAUUGUUUUACUAUUUUUCUUGAUGAAACAUACUUGACUCUGAUACAUUUGUUCAUGAUGAGCUACAAAUGGUGUGUAAUUUAAAAAAUAAGGUAAAGUACUUUUCUUAUGUUCUUGAUAGUAUUUCAGAUCUAACAUGGUUUCCUAGCAGGAUUAUAAGUUUUUUAAAUUUUAUUAUACAAAUAAGACCUUUCAUCAUCAGAUUUUAACUAAUUAUAGGACCAUUCCAGCAUUGGGACUUCCAGUGAUAUCUUGUGAACUCCAAGAGGUGAAUUGUUUGCUUAUGUGAAACAUAAUCACAUCUAAAAUCAAACACAAACUUUCCUUUUUUCUUUCUCUGGUUGUGUAGCUUUCCGCAUGAUUAUUGUUGUUUAGUCGCUAUGUCAUGUCUGACUCUUUGUGACCCCAUAGACUGUACAUGCCAGGCUCCUCUGUCCAAAGGAUAGUUCAGGCAAGAAUACUGAAGUGGUUGUCAUCUCCUUCUCCAGAGGAUCUUCCCAAGCCAGGGAGGGAACCCACAUCUCUUGUGUCUCUGCAUUUACAGGCAUAUUCUGUACCAGUAGUGCCACCUCAUCUGUUAUAUUUGAGAUUCACAUGAGGAUAAAACCAGGCCAUGGAAUGUGAGAGGAAGUGCUCUUGCCCUGCAUAGUCCUGGCGUUUGGAAACAUCCCCCGUGAACCACCAGACUUCAUCCCUUUACUGGAGAGUGUAGUAAUUCAAGUACCACAUUCAAUUUGGAGUCACAUGAGUUGAUGAUGGAAAAAGCCACUGAACAAAAGGUACCUGUUUCCCCGAAUCAUUCACUCAUUUCAGUUGUUUAGUCAUGUCCGACUUUUUGCAACCCCAUGGACUGCAGCACCCCUGGCUUCCCUUGGUCCAUCACCAACUCCCACAGCUUGCUCAAACUCAUGUCCAUCGAGUCAG
rnacentral:lncRNA from 1 species